AAUGUUGUAGUAGGGGGGUUAUUUUGUUAAUUCAUCAAAGUUGAAAGAAAAUUUGGGCUUUUUGUGCGCGUUGUCAUUCGUUGAUCGGGCAAAGGAAAAGAGGGAUACGAAGGAGCGAAACAGAUGAAAGAAGACGGCGAGAGGGAAGCACGAAGGCUCGCAGGCGGCACGGUCGAUCGAUCACGAGAAGAAGGCCGUCUCCGGGGGACGACGAGGCCGAAGAAUGAAGGGAGAAGCAGCAAGGCUGCUUUUGUUCUCGUCCGUCUGCGAGGUGCGAAGGAAAAACUGUCCGAUGGGAGUCCGGUAACGCGUCGCGAGCAGCAGCAGGGACGAAGACGAGAUCCUCGCAGGUCGUUGGUCGACAGGAAGAAGAAAGAGAGAGCGAGGGAGAAGAGGGGUUCGGUAGAACAAGGCACGCAGGUGGGGGCUUCGGUGGUGUUUGCUCGAUGAAAGAAGAAGAGAAGGAUGCGAAAUUGAGUUUCAGAUGGAGGGAAUCGAAAGGAGCAGCCUGGCUUAAGACGAAAUCUGCGAAGGAGUGGAAGUGAAGGUCGAUCUGAGUUAGAAAACAACGAAGGCUAAAGGUGGCGAUGGUGGGAGGCUGCCAUGAAGUCGAUGGAGGUUUUGCGCCGGCGGUUGCAGGAGGAAAAAGGAAGACAUCAGUGGGUUUUUUUUGGCUUUGUUGUGAUCGACAGGAAGGAGGGAAAAGAAAUGAGGCCGUUCUUAUUGUUUGCAGGUACUCACGAGAACAAGAACAAAAAGGUUCUUGACUGGAAACGAAGACGCAGGCAGAAAAUAAAGAAAAGAUAAAUCUUCAGUUUAAGAUUUCAAUUGUUGUUGGUUGUUUGUGGAUCAAACAUUUGUGAUCAGUUGUUGAUUUUUAACAAUGUGGGGGUUGUGUUUGAGUGGGGUAUUGGACUAUUGGUUGAAGGAAGAGUGGAAGAAAGCUUGAGAAAUGACAACACAUUUCUUUAUGUGUGUAAUUUUAGAUUUGUAAGAAUGAAUAGUUGUCAUUUAAUACGUGUAUUUUGUGUGAAAUUUGUAAAUAAUGAAUUUUCCCGUGUA